rnacentral:rRNA from 1 species
AGAGUUUGAUCAUGGCUCAGAGUGAACGCUGGCGGCGUGCUUAACACAUGCAAGUCGAACGAGAACGGCUCUAGUUUACUAGAGUGUCAGCUAAGUGGCGCACGGGUGAGUAAUAUAUAGGUAAUGUGCCUUAGAGAAGGGAAUAAUUGUUGGAAACGACUUGUAAUGCCCUAUAUGCCCUUAAUACAUAAGUAUGCAGGGGAAAUAUUUAUAGCUCUAAGAUCAGCCUGUACGGUAUCAGCUUGUUGGUGAGGUAAUGGCUCACCAAGGCUAUGACAUCUAACUGGUCUGAGAGGAUGAUCAGUCACACUGGAACUGAGACACGGUCCAGACUCCUUCGGGAGGCAGCAGUGGGGAAUAUUGCACAAUGGACGAAAGUCUGAUGCAGCAACGCCGCGUGGAGGAUGACACAUUUAGGUGCGUAAACUCCUUUUAUAUACCAAGAUGAUGACGGUAGUAUAU